AAUGAACGCUGGCGGCAGGCCUAAAACAUGCAAGUCGAACGCCCUAGCAAUAGGGAGUGGCGCACGGGUGAGUAACAUGUGGGAAUAUGACUUUUGGUACGGAACAACGUUUGGAAACGAACGCUAAUACCGUAUGGUCCCUCCGGGGUAAAGAUUUAUCGCCAAAAGAUUAGCCCGCACUAGAUUAGCUAGUUGGUAAGGUAAUGGCUUACCAAGGCGACGAUCUAUAGCUGUUCUGAGAGGAAGAUCAGCAACACUGGGACUGAGACACGGACCAGAUUCCUAGGGAAGGAAGCAGUUAGGAAUAAUGGACAACGGGCGCAAGCCUGAUCCAGCCAUGUCGCGUGAGUGAUGAAGGCCGGCGGGUUGUAAAGCUCUUUAGCCGACGAAUAUAAUGACUGUAGUCGGAGAAUAAGCCCCGGCUAACUUCGUGCCAGCCGCCGCGGUAACAC
rnacentral:rRNA from 1 species